rnacentral:rRNA from 1 species
UGCCAGCAGCCGCGGUAACACGGGGGGCGCAAGCGUUAUUCGGAAUUAUUGGGCGUAAAGGGCGCGCAGGCGGUCUUGUCCGUCAGGUGUGAAAGCUCGGGGCUCAACCCCGGAAGUGCACUUGAAACAGCAAGACUUGAAUACGGUAGAGGAGAGAGGAAUUCCUGGUGUAGAGGUGAAAUUCGUAGAUAUCGGGAGGAACACCCGUGGCGAAGGCGGCUCUCUGGACUCAGACUGACACUGAGGCGCGAAAGCGUGGGUAGCGAACAGGAUUAGAUA